rnacentral:lncRNA from 1 species
CCUCUGUUUUUAGCUUCCCAGCUUCCCAUACGAUCACAGAUUCCAAUAAGAAUAGUCUGCAAAAGAAAAGGAAAAAAAUGUAAAACACCCACUAUACUAAAAGGCCUAACCAAACCAUUCGAUUCGCCAAAAAUCAAACAUGAAAAAACCUGCAGUUCCAUCAGUUCACAUCAACAAUCAAACAUGAAAAAAAUACGGUAGACAUGUAGACACAUAUUUAUCGAUUUUUAAUUGCUUUCUAAACAUGCAGUAUGAUUUUAGAUUGUUUUCUCACCAUAGUAUUGUAAAUUUUUUUAAAAACUCGAAAUUCUUUGACGGCUUUAAGAUUCUUUUAGAAACACGAGCUGAGUUUAGAGCGGGUUUAAAUAUCACCUUGUUCUCCUUUACCUCACUAUAAUUAUAUAUAAAAUUAAUUUAAUUUUUAUUUUAUAUUUUUUAUAAUAAACAAAAAUAAAAAUAAUAAAUAUUUUUAAAAUUUUAAUUUAUAAAAAUUUACAAUAUUUUUAUUAUUUAUAAAAUAUAUUUAUUUUAAUGUAAUUUUAAAAAAUUUAAAAUAAUUUUUUUUAAAAAGAAAAAUAAAUGAGGUGGGAUGAGAGCCGCCAGCCCAAAUUGACCCAAAUUUAUUUUAAUAUUAUUUCGGUUGAAAAUUCUUGGUUUUAGAGUACUUUCCAAACACACAUUUUUUUGCGUUGUUUUUGUUUUCCAAUUUUCGAAAGCAGAAAAAUGUUUUGACUUUGAGAGUCCAUUUGACAGUGAUUUUAGGAAGUGUUUUCAAAACUUUUUAACACUUUUAAAAUUUAUAUCAUUUAAGUAUUAGAAAUGCUACAAUCAUUUUCUAAAAUUACCAUCAAACACAUUUUGAAUUUGAAGUAAGGCCCUUUGCAUAAAGGUCAACAUGACAAUCUGAUCCUGGCUUGGCCCGGGCCCGAUCAUAGCCCGUGUUUACAAAUCUGGAUUUUAUUUAGUUUUUUGUCUAAAUUUUUUUGUCAUUUUCAUGGUGGCAUAAUAAUUGAAAUCUUGCAGGAUGAUACACAGAUUUAAUAGAGAAUAUGCCUCUUUGUUUUUGGAAAUUUAAAUUUAAUUGAUUUUAAUAAAAAGAAAUUAAAAUUAAUAAAAGCAAACCCUCAAGAAUCACUAAAGGUAGAAACAAAUCCUGAUUGUCUAAUGCACCCAAUCCAUGGAAAGUAAAUGCUAGAAAUUAGUUAAAUUUUUUGAGUCACUAUAAUACAAGGCAGAGAAACGUUUCGAAAACAAGUCAUUUUUCCUUUCCAAUGUGUAAAAUCUCAGGGAGGGUUCAGUGAGUUCAUCGGUUACUCAGCUGACUCAACAGAAGAGACAAAAAAACAGGAGGAAAAGAACUUAACUCGGUUGAGUACCUGACUCGUAGAGCAAUGGUCUAGUCAAGAGGUUGCUGGCGGGAACAUACCUCUUUCAGUUAUUCUACGGUUAAGUACAAAACAAGUGAACAGAAGAUCCUACCAUUUUAUAUUUCAAAGAAAGAAAAAAAUCCCAACUAAAUAACAAGAUUAAUGGAUCUUCACAUCUGGGGUUUAAGAUUUGGUUACAAAGAAACGAUUCAGUCCAUCACGGUCAAGGUUUGUCCAAAACCCUUUGGUGUAUUGCCUAGGGUUUAAGGGUUUUGUUGCCUAACAAACUCAUUACUUUUUACAGAUUGAUACAAGAAAGAAAUCUGAAAUUCCAGUCAAGAUCACGAGGAGAUGUAAACCAAUCAAGAUCAAGGUAAGUACUUUAACAGAUUGAAAGUUUUAAUUUCUAUCCAUUGGUAAAUGUAUAUGUACAAGUUAAAUGCAAGUAAGCACAAGUCUAAGUAUCCAAAUCUAGGGUUUUAUGUAUCUACAUUUUCUUUUCUUUUCUUUUCUUUUCAUGUCUUCUUUCUGAAUAGUAGUAUCAUAAAAAACCCAGAUGUCAUCAGAUGAUGAGAUUACAGCUCUUACAAAGACACCUGACAGUGAAGAAGAAAUGAAAAGGAUCAUGACUGAGGUUGUACAGCCAAGAAGAACUCACCCAACUGAACUGCCCGGAGCAUUCCCUGAUCUUGAAAGCGCAUUAGAGUUUGUACAUUAUCAACUCAUGACAGUAGAUCAAGCUAGAACCGAAGAGCCACCAACCCAACCAAUUGAACUUACCGCUGUGACAGACAGCAUCAUGAUCACUACUAAAAGGGUACCACCUCAGGAGGGAUCAAUUGUUCCUUGUGAGUCCUCUGCAGUAUCUGAAUUUGACAUGAACCAUACAGCUGGUGCAGAACUACAGGCCUUGGCAGAAGCAGGCCCAAAUCAGAUUGCUGUUCCUGUAUGUCAGAGCCUGCCUGCAUUUCCAACUCAUCAACUAGGUGAAUGUUCAGCUGAGCCAGCACAAUCACAUGAUGUUUCAGCAUUCUUGGUGGAUAAUUAUCCAGUGACUCUGGAAGAUCUGGAGGAAUUUCAUGCAGCACAGGACUAUCUUUUGGAGCCUACUGUAAUGCCAGAUUCUGAAACCAGUCACCCGGCCUCUGAAUUUCAUGAUCUCCCAGAAAGUUCAUUGGCGGACCACCCUAAUAAUGAGGCACUGACUCAUGCAGAGCCAGAUGCAACUGAGGAAGCAAGUUGCGUUCCUCAUCAGCCAAUUGCAACCUCUCAAUUUGAAACAAAUGCAUCUGAAUUUUCCAAUCCCAUGGCUCCAUUUGCAGUAACUGAGCAGAAUGAUGUGCAAGUACAUACAAUCAGUGGAGCAAUAGGCCCAUAUCAUAGCACUGUUCCAGAAUGUCAAAACCAGUCUGCAUCACCAACUCAUCAACAUGAUGAAUCAUACACCCAACCAGCACUUGAAUCUCUUGAUAUUGCAAUGAACUUCCCAGAUAGCAACCCAGUGAGUCAAGAAGAUCUUCAAGCACUACAAGAAGCAUUGAGCUGUGUUUGUGAGCCUUCAUCACCAUCUUAUUUUGAUAUUCAUGUGCCAGCAUCUCCUAAUCUCACAGAAAGUCCAAUGGCUCACAGCCCAAUCAGUAGAUCUCUGACUGAUAAAGAAGAAAAAUGCAUUUCAGGAAUCACUCAAUCCUCCUCAUCAACCCACUGCAACAUCUCAAAGCCAACCAUCCAACAUCUGAAUUCUCCAGUCUCACAGGCAAUAUGAGUCUCCAUUUCCAUUCACCAAACAAUGAACUGAUGUACAGCUACAUGCACCCGUUGCGGCAACAUACCCAUAUCAUAAUGCCUUUUCAGAACUUCAAGACCUGCCUGCAUCACCGACUUGUCAACCAGCUGAAAUUUCAUCUCAGCCAGCAACUAGCAUCCUGAAUCUUGUGAACAUGAAGGCAUGCAUUCUUCUUUGGUGCAGGGAUAUAUGUUUACAUGUGAAAGAGUUCAAAUUCAAUUGAUUGAACUCAAAUAUGGAAACUUUUUCAUGAUUGUCAUUCCAAACUGGUGUAACUGUUCUUUUGCCGUCUGUUUGCUGCAAAAGCAUCAAACUUUGAUGUUUCGCUUCUUCAUUAUCUGUUAGUUCAUAACCAUAGCUAGAUAUAAAAAGCAUUAUUUUUUGGAAAAAAAUAAAAACAACAAAUUUGCAUUUUAGAAUUGUUCCAAAUAUUCGCUUUUUAGGUUUUAUAAAAAUAAUAAGUCAAAAGAUAAAAAAGUCAGAACUUCUGAAAAAUCUCUGUAAUUUAGGAACUAAGAACCUUGCAUUGGUUCUGUUAUUCUCCACCAUGCGGUUCAAGCCAUAAAUCCACCUGCUCAGGAUCGAGUGAGAAUCCUACUUCACAAUUCAGUUUUAUGAAUCUUUGGUAUCACUUUGGUCAACUCUAAACCCUUUUUUUGGGGUGGGCGGGGGUUGGGAACACAAUUGUCCCUGAGGUUUGGUGGGAUUACAGUGGCAUUCCCUCGUCCUUAGAAAAAGACAUGCACCUUCUUUCAGACAUGUUUUAUUGACAAAAGCUUGCCACCAUUAGUCAACCAUCAGGUCGACUAAUGAAUUUGCUACAUCAUCCCAAAAAUUUGUCAGAAAUACCUAUUUAACCUAUACUAUAGAAAAUAAUAUCACAUGGAACAAAUAAAGAAAAAUACAAAAAUAGAAUAUUAUUUCAACUCAAGUCCAGUGUCAAUAACACAAUCACUUGGUAUAGUAACAACAGCAUAAAGCAUAAUAUUUAUACUAUCGAAUGGCAUCAGUGACAGCAGCGGUAGUCAUUACAAAAGAAGUGGUGGUCGUUACAAAGAUAGGUGGUAAUAGGAAAGAAUUUACUUGAUAACCAAAUCAGCUUGGGCCCCAAAUUGAAAUCCCCAAAUCUGUUUUUUGAAGAACAGGGUAAAAUGUAAAAUCAUGCUUUGCAUUCAAUUGCACAGUUAACGACUGGAAGCUCUCUUUCAAUGACAUUAAACCUAAAGGGAGCUUAUGUCUCUUUUCAAAGAUGAUGGGAGGUUUUUCACUAAACUUCAGAAGAGAUUUUUUUUUUUUUUGAUAAAUCACUAAACUUCAGACGAGAUGAAUGCAAUGUUCUCUUUUUUGGGCCUUUUUCUUGUCGUUUUACAACCCUAAAUGUGAAUCAAGUCAGUAACAAGGUGCAUCACAAGUGGUUGAAUGAUCUCUGAAACUUACUCCAUAGAAUGCAUUCAUUUUUUCUUCUAGUUUUCUUGUGUUGUUAUUCAUAUUUCAUACACCUCAAUCUCUUCACUUCUAUUACAUACACUUCCUGAACAUGAUUCUAAGCCAUCAAGCAUUUCAUAUAGCUAGUCCUAUAGCCAGCUCAAAACAUUCUUUUUUCUUUAAAGAUGGACACGUAUAUUGAAAAGAUAAAAUAGUAAAUAACAUCAAACUAACAAAAAGAAAAAAGCCAACCCCAUACCCAACCAAAAGCAAUUAUGGUUAUCCAAACCUCAUCUUGUAUGAGGCAAAUAGGAUUUGAAAGUCAAAACUCUAAACCUGCUCGAUAUUGAUCCAAGUUUGAAAUUCCCAACAAAAAACAAAUGUGUAAUCUAAUGCAAAUUUCUCAAUCAAAUAGAAGGCACAAGGCGCCAUUUUGCUCUUUACACGGUGAUCCAAAUUCUUACAAUCAAAAGCACUUUAUUUGGCCAAGUCUAGCAAAAGCAAGAGACACUGUUUUUACCUAUGUUACAAUACUUCUCUCCUUCUUAUCAAUAAUUAAAUAAAUAAUUUUCCAGAACUUUUAAAUAAAAUGAGGAGAUAUAUCAAAAUAUAAAAUUAUUCUACUUUAGAUAUGCAGUUAAAAACAAGGGAAUUUAAGAAAGGAACUGUGACAACAUUGAAUGGGGUUAAGAUUGAGGAGACCUAAGGUUAGGGAUGGGAGUUUAGCUUACAAUGGAGACUUUGUAAGCAAGUGUUUAUGGGGAUUCCUCAAGGAACAACUUCUCUUUGGCACACUAUUAUCAAGAAUAAGUAUGGUAAUCCAAUGGAUGGGAUGCCAACUCUAAUAUCAGGAUUUUGAAUCAAAGCCCAUGGAAAACUAUCGCCUGGGUUUUCAAGCCUUCCUUCCUUAUAUUAGAUUUGUUAUAGCAAUGGAUCUAACAUCAGUUUUUAGGAAGACCCUUGGCAGGGAAUCUUCUCUUUUGUGAACCUUCCCCUCAUCUUCACACUACCUCAAAAAGAGUUAGCUCCCUAGCCUCAUUGUUGUAGUCCUAUCAAGAUUUUCAAAGGUGCUUGUCGGGCACACCUCAAGACAUGGUGUGGCAAAAACAACACUUUGAGGUGUUGAAGAAAAAGCCAAACUCUAGAAAGGCAUAUGCCUUUCACAGUGAGGUGUGGCUAAGGCACGCAUUGGAUGCACCUUUUACGCACUGGGGAUUGAGGCAUACACCUCUAUGGGUCUUUGUGUCUCAAGUGGCCAUGUUAGAAAAAAAAAACAAAAAUUGAAGAAGAUAUCAACAUUUUAACCCGAAAAUCCCAUAGAGAGUGAGUGAGAAUUGAGAAUAAAGAGGAAAAUGAAAGAAAAAUCCUAACCCUAGAUCCGUAAAAAUGCUUACCUCACAAUCGUGGCUUCUCAUUUCGAAGACACCCUCUCACUCCGACAACACCCUAUUUGCUUUGUCUCAACAGUCGGCGCCUUCUCCGUCUUGUCUCUUCCCUUUCUCCUUCAUCCUUUCUACUUUCUUCUCUAUCCGCGCCUUCUCCACCACAACUAGUUUUUUGUUUUCUUAAUCUUUUUUUUUUUUUUUUCUUGGGCAAUACCAAGAUAAUUGUUUUCUUGUUUUUACUUUUUACAUCACCACAACCACAUUUUUACAUCUUGUUUUAUUGUUUUUAGUUUGACCACUAGGACCACUUACCUUCCCUUACAAGCAUGUUCAUCCAAUUUCCAAUUUCUCACCUCUCAUUUUUUUUUUAAAGGGAAAAUUGGAAAGUUAUAUAAAUAAUUAGGUUUUUAUAUUUAUCUUAAGGAUUAGAUAUGAUAAUAUUUAAUUUUAAAAAUUUUAUUAUUAAAAUUUUGUUAUUUUAUGUUCUAAAAGAAUUAUGUAAUUUAUUUAAAAUUCUUUAUGUAAUUUAUUCAAUAUUAUAUUUUUACAUAUUUAGUAAUUAUAAAAAUUAGGAUCUCAAAAGGCUAACGCCUUAACACUUCAAAGCUUACGCUUCGUCUCACAGGAACAAAAACGCCUUGCCUUAAACUUUCGCUUUAAAAACUUUGUCCUAUAACUUUCUAUCUUGGCACCUUGGUUCUCACACAAAUAUUAACAAACAGGAGAGUACAGAUUUGGCAGUGCUCUUCUCCAUAAAAACGUGGUUAUUCCUUUGUCCCUAGAUGGGAAUCUGUUGCUUCAAAAUCCUUUUUAUGUUUAAGAAGGAUAGGACCAGCCUAUUUUUCACUAGCCAAGCUAACACAGUGAUCCAAACCGACCUUCAAAAACCACCCCCUCUUUGUUAAGCAUCAGGCAGCUCCAAAAGAGAUCCCAAAUAUGUUGGUCACAGUUUUUUAUUCUUUUUUCAGGGUUUUGGAAAGUAACUAGAAGUAAGGUUCUAGGAUGUUUUUCUCUGCAAGCCACUCUUUGGGUGACGAGGUUAUAAAGGAAGGCUAAGAUCUUUGAGGAGAAACAAAGCUCUACUACAAAGUUGAGUAUUGUAUUUAUUUGAGACAUUGUUAGUUAGAUUUUGUUAGACUUUGAAACUGUUUAUUAGGCCCAUUUAAGGAUAGCUCCUCUUGAGCUUGAUUUUUGGCCCUCUUUAUAUUUUACUAUUCUUGUGCAAGGACUCCUCAUCCUUCUUUGUUUGUACUUUAUUUUUAUUUUAAUACAUUUUGUUCUUUAUAUAAAUAAAGAAAAAUAAUUGAAGAGGCUCUAUUAAAAUUUUCACUAAAUACAAAUAUAAGUUUCUAAAUUUUCAUUUUUGGAUGGGGUACAGGAAUGUGGGCUUGUGAUCAACAAGUCAGUCAAACAGAGAAGAGACCAUUCUCAUUUAUUUUCAUGAUUAGAUGAACCAAUUUGGAUUCCUAUGUUUCAACAAAGAUUGAAGAGAGAACUGAAGUAGAUGGUACGCAGCACUCAGUAGUCCAUAGAGUGAAACCGGCAUCUCUCUUUCUCCAACUUCCAUUCUUUUUUCAACCACGAUAAAAAAAAAAAAAAAAAAAUCUCCAUUUUUUUUCUUUCUUUUCCUCUUUUUUUAAUCUAAAAGAACAGAAACACGGCCUAUAAUUCAAAUGACAAAUUGAUGAUAGGCAUGCCAUGUCUCCAUGCUAUAGGUAAAAAAGGCAAUCAAGUUGCAAAAUAAGGCACCCAUAGCUGCAUAGUCCAUAAAAUCCAUUUAAAUAUUCAAGAACACGAUCUGAUAACAAAUAGAAUGAUGCAAACUGACUAAAAUAACACAACAAAAACAAUGACUAAUCUCAAGGAAAGCACUCAACGAUGGUUCAGACAACAUACAAAAAAUACACCAGUCAAAUCAGACACCCACCAACAACAUUCUGAAGCCCUAAAUCACUAGAACAAAAAUCAAAGAUCUUAUGCAGGAAUAUGUUGUUCUCAAGAACAAUCAUACCACUUACCUUGGAACUAGUCAAACUUAAUGGAACUUCUCAUAACCAUGGUCUGAAGUACCUUUCAAUAUUUCAGCCAUCUCCAGUAUCUACAAGAGUCCAUAAAAUUUAUUGCUCCACAUUUUUAUAUAAAGCUUCCAUGUUUGAUGACUAAAUUCUGCCACUUUGUUCAGAUCUAUAUCAAUACCUCCAUACUUUCAGAACCACAAUAUGAAAUCUGAAUUCAACAUUUUACUCCUUGCUGGUAACCACAUCAGGAUCCAAUACAUCCAUGGUCGUAUUUAUCUCUCAUAACAGCCAUUCUUUCUCUCACUCACAUGCCAACAAAUCAGCCCCGAAAGUAAACUUCAACAUCCACAGAAUCACAGAUAAAAAUGAGCAAGAAAUGCCCUUCAUCUACACUCAAUUAUUCUUCAAUAAACUCCAAUUUUACACGAGUGCUUCCUCAACUUAUUGGCAACCACAUGCAACCAACUGGCAUCAGGAUUUUCAAUAACCCUUCUGUUUGUCAGCUGAGAAAACAGAGACGAAAAAAUGGCUUUGGAUCUCACAUCUCCACCAGAUCCUUAUAGCCGUAUUUAUUAUUUUCCCAAAGCGCAUGUAACUCAGCAGUGAGAAUUUUAACUUUUUUCUCUUAAAUUUCCUACCUUUUCUCAGCAACCAAACAGAAGUAGUAAAUAAUUCACGAAUCAGUAAACAUAAACGUAAAUUUAAAAAAAGAAAAAAAGAAAAAGAAAAACCUAAAUUCGGAUUGUAAGCAACGGUAAAAAACCAGACAUAAUUUACGAUCAAAAUAUGAAGUCAGAAAAAGUAAAGAGAAAAAGCAGUAAAUCAACCUAAAACGCCGUCGUUUCAAGUCUGUCUCUACCACUGGCGUCGUCUUCGCCGACGAUUUCCAUAGCGCCGGUGGCCUCUGAUGAAGGUAAAGGCGUCUCUGUUGAUUCGUUGGAAAGUGCCUACCGUGUAUCGAUUUGUCUACCGUCGAUCCUAUGCAGUGAUUCCAGUAACCAAUGCCAAAACGCCACGUCGCCAUACUGCUAUUCCCCCCUUUUACCCUUUUUGGGUUUUGAUUAUAUCAUUAUGAGACUGAUGUGAAAAUUAUAAUUUUUAGUCUUCAUUUAAUUUCGUAUCAUAUGGUUAUCAAAU